rnacentral:rRNA from 1 species
UAAGUUCCUUGGAACAGGACGUCACAGAGGGUGAGAAUCCCGUACGUGGCCGCCGGUCUUCACCGUGUAAAGCCCCUUCGACGAGUCGAGUUGUUUGGGAAUGCAGAUAUAAAUGGGAGAUACAUUUCUUCUAAAGCUAAAUAUUGGCCAGAGACCGAUNGCGCACAAGUAGAGUGAUCGAAAGAUGAAAAGCACUUUGGAAAGAGAGUCAAAAAGCACGUGAAAUUGUUGAAAGGGAAGCGCUUGCAGCCAGACNUGCCCGCAGUUGCUCACCUGGGCUCUCGCCCGGGGCAUUCUUCUGCGGGCAGGCCAGCAUCAGUUCGGGCGGUUGGAUAAAGGCCUCUAUCANGUAUCUNCCUUCGGGAUGACCUUAUAGGGGAGGCGCAACACGACCAGCCUGAACUGAGGACCGCGCAUCAGCUAGGANGCUGGCNUAAUGGCUGUAAGCGGCCCGUCUUGAAACACGGACCAAGGAGUCUAACAUCUAUGC